UCCCCCAGUAGCGGCGAGCGAACGGGGAGCAGCCCAGAGUCUGAAUCAGCUUGUGUGUUAGUGGAACGGUCUGGAAAGUCCGACGGUACAGGGUGAUAGUCCCGUACACCAAAAUGCACAGGUUGUGAACUCGAAGAGUAGGGCGGGACACGUGGUAUCCUGUCUGAAUAUGGGGGGACCAUCCUCCAAGGCUAAAUACUCCUGACUGACCGAUAGUGAACCAGUACCGUGAGGGAAAGGCGAAA
rnacentral:rRNA from 1 species